GGCCCUGUAGCUCAGGGGUUAGAGCACUGGUCUCGUAAACCAGGGGUUGUGAGUUCAAAUCUCACCUGGGCCU
rnacentral:tRNA from 1 species